rnacentral:rRNA from 1 species
GGACGAACGCUGGCGGCGUGCUUAACACAUGCAAGUCGAACGGAAAGGCCCUGCUUUUGUGGGGUGCUCGAGUGGCGAACGGGUGAGUAACACGUGAGUAACCUGCCCUUGACUUUGGGAUAACUUCAGGAAACUGGGGCUAAUACCGGAUAGGUGCUCCUGCUGCAUGGUGGGGGUUGGAAAGUUUCGGCGGUUGGGGAUGGACUCGCGGCUUAUCAGCUUGUUGGUGGGGUAGUGGCUUACCAAGGCUUUGACGGGUAGCCGGCCUGAGAGGGUGACCGGCCACAUUGGGACUGAGAUACGGCCCAGACUCCUACGGGAGGCAGCAGUGGGGAAUAUUGCACAAUGAGCGGAAGCCUGAUGCAGCAACGCCGCGUGCGGGAUGACGGCCUUCGGGUUGUAAACCGCUUUCGCCUGUGACGAAGCGUGAGUGACGGUAAUGGGUAAAGAAGCACCGGCUAACUACGUG